rnacentral:rRNA from 1 species
CCUACGGGCGGCUGCAGUGGGGAAUAUUGGACAAUGGGGGGAACCCUGAUCCAGCCAUGCCGCGUGUGUGAAGAAGGCCCUCGGGUUGUAAAGCACUUUCAGUGAGGAAGAACGCCUGGUGGUUAAUACCCAUCAGGAAAGACAUCACUCACAGAAGAAGCACCGGCUAACUCCGUGCCAGCAGCCGCGGUAAUACGGAGGGUGCGAGCGUUAAUCGGAAUUACUGGGCGUAAAGCGCGCGUAGGUGGCUUGAUAAGCCGGUUGUGUAAGCCCCGGGCUCAACCUGGGAACGGCAUCCGGAACUGUCAAGCUAGAGUGCAGGAGAGGAAGGUAGAAUUCCCGGUGUAGCGGUGAAAUGCGUAGAGAUCGGGAGGAAUACCAGUGGCGAAGGCGGCCUUCUGGACUGACACUGACACUGAGGUGCGAAAGCGUGGGUAGCAAACAGGAUUAGAUACCCCUGUAGUC